rnacentral:hammerhead_ribozyme from 1 species
GCUGAAGAGUCCCAUACUAGGACGAAACGGCCGUCC